GAUGAACGCUGGCGGCGUGCCUAACACACGCAAGUCGAACGAAGCACCUUACCUGAUUCUUCGGAUGAAAGUUUGGUGACUGAGUGGCGGACGGGUGAGUAACGCGUGGGUAACCUGCCCUGUACAGGGGGAUAACAGCUGGAAACGGCUGCUAAUACCGCAUAAGCGCACGAGGAGACAUCUCCUUGUGUGAAAAACUCCGGUGGUACAGGAUGGGCCCGCGUCUGAUUAGCUGGUUGGCAGGGUAACGGCCUACCAAGGCAACGAUCAGUAGCCGGUCUGAGAGGAUGAACGGCCACAUUGGAACUGAGACACGGUCCAAACUCCUACGGGAGGCAGCAGUGGGGAAUAUUGCACAAUGGGGGAAACCCUGAUGCAGCAACGCCGCGUGAGUGAAGAAGUAUUUCGGUAUGUAAAGCUCUAUCAGCAGGGAAGAUAAUGACGGUACCUGACUAAGAAGCUCCGGCUAAAUACGUG
rnacentral:rRNA from 1 species